rnacentral:rRNA from 2 species
GAUGAACGCUGGCGGCGCGCCUAACACAUGCAAGUCGAACGGUUAAAGCACCUUUUAGGUGUGUAUAAAGUGGCGAACGGCUGAGUAACACGUGGGCAACCUGCCCUCCUCUUGGGGAUAGCCUCGGGAAACCGAGGAUAAUACCCGAUACUUCAAUGUGGCCGCAUGACGACAUUGAGAAAGCUUUUGCGGAGAAGGAUGGGCCCGCGGCCUGUUAGCUUGUUGGUGGGGUAGAGGCCUACCAAGGCAAUGAUGGGUAGCUGGGUUGAGAGACCGACCAGCCAGAUUGGGACUGAGACACGGCCCAGACUCCUACGGGAGGCAGCAGUGGGGAAUCUUGCACAAUGGGCGAAAGCCUGAUGCAGCGACGCCGCGUGCGGGAAGAAGGCCUUCGGGUUGUAAACCGCUUUCAGCAGGGACGAGGCGAAAGUGACGGUACCUGCAGAAGAAGCCCGGCU